GACGAACGCUGGCGGCGUGCCUAAUACAUGCAAGUAGAACGCUGAAGGAAGGAGCUUGCUCUUUCUGGAUGAGUUGCGAACGGGUGAGUAACGCGUAGGUAACCUGCCUGGUAGCGGGGGAUAACUAUUGGAAACGAUAGCUAAUACCGCAUAAAAUUGAUUAUUGCAUGAUAGUCAAUUAAAAGGUGCAACUGCACCACUACCAGAUGGACCUGCGUUGUAUUAGCUAGUUGGUGGGGUAACGGCUCACCAAGGCGACGAUACAUAGCCGACCUGAGAGGGGGAGCGGCCACCCUGGGACUGAGACACGGCCCAGACUCCUACGGGAGGCAGCAGUAGGGAAUCUUCGGCAAUGGACGGAAGUCUGACCGAGCAACGCCGCGUGAGUGAAGAAGGGUUUCGGAUCGUAAAGCUCUGUUGUAAGAGAAGAACGAGUGUGAGAGUGGAAAGUUCACACUGUGACGGUAGCUUACCAGAAAGGGACGGCUAACUACGUG
rnacentral:rRNA from 1 species